AUUGAACGCUGGCGGCAGGCCUAACACAUGCAAGUCGAGCGGAUGAAGGGAGCUUGCUCCUGGAUUCAGCGGCGGACGGGUGAGUAAUGCCUAGGAAUCUGCCUGGUAGUGGGGGAUAACGUCCGGAAACGGGCGCUAAUACCGCAUACGUCCUGAGGGAGAAAGUGGGGGAUCUUCGGACCUCACGCUAUCAGAUGAGCCUAGGUCGGAUUAGCUAGUUGGUGGGGUAAAGGCCUACCAAGGCGACGAUCCGUAACUGGUCUGAGAGGAUGAUCAGUCACACUGGAACUGAGACACGGUCCAGACUCCUACGGGAGGCAGCAGUGGGGAAUAUUGGACAAUGGGCGAAAGCCUGAUCCAGCCAUGCCGCGUGUGUGAAGAAGGUCUUCGGAUUGUAAAGCACUUUAAGUUGGGAGGAAGGGCGGUAAGUUAAUAACUUGCUGUUUUGACGUUACCAACAGAAUAAGCACCGGCUAACUUCGUG
rnacentral:rRNA from 1 species